UACAGGGGGUGCAAACGUUGCUCGGAAUUAUUGGGCGUAAAGCGCGCGUAGGCGGCCCGGUAAGUCCGCUGUGAAAGUCAAAGGCUCAACCUUUGAAUGUCAGCGGAUACUGCCGGGCUAGAGUCCGGAAGAGGCGAGUGGAACUCCUGGUGUAGCGGUGGAAUGCGCAGAUAUCAGGAAGAACACCAACGGCGAAGGCAGCUCGCUGGGACGGAACUGACGCUAAGGCGCGAAAAGCGUGGGGAGCGAACAGG
rnacentral:rRNA from 1 species